rnacentral:rRNA from 1 species
CCAUGGCGCUCUGGGAACUCGGAAUUGGCGGUAAGGGGUCGGCGCAGCUAACGCUGGCGUAGACCCCUUACCGCCAGGGUCGUAAUGAGGGCCAUGGCAGUUAUGGGUCCUUUGAUCGCUCUAUCCGUUACUUGGAUAACUGCGGUAAUUCUAGAACUAACACAUGCCAACAGGUGUUGCGCCUCCAAGGAUGCGUGCAUUUAUCAGACCAAGAACAAUCCGGGCUCGCCUGGCGCUUUGGUGACUCUAGAUAACCUCGGGCUGAUAGUACGUCCCUGUGACAGUGGCCGAUGCAUUCGAUGUCUGCCUAUCAAUUUUCGAUGGUACUUUCUGUGCCUACCAUGGUGACCACAUGGUAAUGGGGAAUAAGUGUCCGAUUUCGGAAGGGGAGCCUGAGAAACAGCUACCACAUCCAACGAAGGGAGCAUGCACGCAAAUACCCCACUCCUGACUCGGGGAGGUAGUGAUGAAAAAUAACAAUGCAGGACUCUUUCGAGGCCUGUAGUUGGAAUGAGUACACUUUAAAUCAUUUAACAAUGAUCCAUUGACGGGCAAGUCUGGUGCCAGAAGCUGCAGUAAUUCCCUCUCCAAUAGCAUAUUUUAAAGUUGCGACACUUAAAAAGCUUGUGGUUGGAUCUUGGGAUUGAGCUACCGGUCUGCUGCAAGGAGAGUUACCACAUGCCCGAGCCCCUGCCUCUCGGUGCACCUUCAUACUCUCAUACUCAUGUUCUACGGGUCCAAAGCGUUUACUUUGAAAUAAUAAGAGUGUUAAAAGCAGGUCAGUUGUCUAAAUACUUCAGCUGGAAUAAUGGAAUAGAACUCUGGUUCUAAUUUGUUGGUUUUCAGAACUGGGGCCAUGAUUAAGAGGGACUGCUGGGGGCAUUCGUAUUGUGCCGCUAGAGGUGAAAUUCUUGGACCGACGCAAGACGAACCAAAGCAAAAGUAUUUGCCAAGAACGUUUUCAUUAAUCAAGAACGAAAGCCAGAGGUUCGAAGAUGAUCAGAUACCAUCAUAGUUCGGACCAUAAACGAUGACGACUAGCGAUCCAGUGAUGUUAUUCCCAUGACCUGCUGAGCAGCUUCUGGGAAAACCAAAGUCUUUAAGUUCCAGGGGGGUAUGGUUGCAAAGCUGAAACUUAAAGGAAUUGACGGAAGGGCACCACCAGGAGUGGACCCUGUGGCUGAAUUUGACUCAACACGGGAAACCUAACCCGGCCCGGACACAGAAAGGAUUGACAGAUUGAUAGCUCUUUCACGAUUCUGUGGGUGGUGGUGCAUGGCUGGUCUUAAUUGCGGAGCGAUUUGUCUGGUUAAUGCCAAUAACUACGAGACUCCUCCAUGCUAACUAUUCAACUUCUUAGAGGGACAAGUGGCGUUCAGCCACACGAGAUCAGGCAAUACAGGUCUGUGAUGACCUUAGAUGUCCGGGGCUGCACGCGCGCUACACUGAACGGAUCAGCGUGUGUCUACCCUUCGCCGACAGGUGCGGGUAACCCGCUGAACCCGUUCGUGAUAGGGUUGGGGAUUUCAAUUAUUCCAUUAACGAGAAAUACGCAAUUAGUGUGGGUAAUAAGCUUGCAUUGAUUAUGUCUCUGCUGCUUUACACACCACUCUUCACUUCACUACUACCAAUUGGAUGGUUUAGUGAUGUCCUCGGAUCGGCCCUGACAGGGUUGGCAAUGACCCUAGAGGAGCGCUGAGAAGAUGAUCAUGCUUGAUUAUCUAGAGGAAGUAAAAGUCAUAACAAGGUUUCUGUAGGUGAACCUGCAGAAG